UUCGGUUAAGUUAAUAAGGGCGCACGGUGGAUGCCUUGGCACUAGGAGCCGACGAAGGACGGGACUAACACCGAUAUGCUUCGGGGAGCUGUAAGUGAGCUGAUCCGAAGAUUUCCGAAUGGGGGAACCCACUGUUCGUAAUGGAACAGUAUCCUUGCUUGAAUACAUAGAGCAUGGAAGGCAGACCCAGGGAACUGAAACAUCUAAGUACCUGGAGGAAGAGAAAGCAAAUGCGAUUCCCUGAGUAGCGGCGAGCGAAACGGGAUUAGCCCAAACCAAGAGGCUUGCCUCUUGGGGUUGUAGGACACUCUAUACGGAGUUACAAAGGAACGGGGUAGACGAAGAAGUCUGGAAAGGCUCGUCAAAGAAGGUAACAACCCUGUAGUCGAAACUUCGUUCCCUCUUGAGUGGAUCCUGAGUACGGCGGGACACGUGAAAUCCCGUCGGAAGCUGGGAGGACCAUCUCCCAAGGCUAAAUACUCCCUAGUGACCGAUAGUGAACCAGUACCGUGAGGGAAAGGUGAAAAGCACCCCGGAAGGGGAGUGAAAUAGAACCUGAAACCGUGUGCCUACAAGUAGUCAGAGCCCGUUAACGGGUGAUGGCGUGCCUUUUGUAGAAUGAACCGGCGAGUUACGAUCCCAUGCAAGGUUAAGUUGAGAAGACGGAGCCGCAGCGAAAGCGAGUCUGAAUAGGGCGAAUGAGUAUGUGGUCGUAGACCCGAAACCAGGUGAUCUACCCAUGUCCAGGAUGAAGUCCAGGUAACACUGGAUGGAGGUCCGAACCCACGCACGUUGAAAAGUGCGGGGAUGAGGUGUGGGUAGCGGAGAAAUUCCAAUCGAACCUGGAGAUAGCUGGUUCUCUCCGAAAUAGCUUUAGGGCUAGCCUCAUGUUGUAAGAGUCUUGGAGGUAGAGCACUGUUUGGACUAGGGGCCCUCAUCGGGUUACCGAAUUCAGACAAACUCCGAAUGCCAAAGACUUAUCCAUGGGAGUCAGACUGCGAGUGAUAAGAUCCGUAGUCGAAAGGGAAACAGCCCAGACCACCAGCUAAGGUCCCAAAGUAUACGUUAAGUGGAAAAGGAUGUGGAGUUGCUUAGACAACCAGGAUGUUGGCUUAGAAGCAGCCACCAUUUAAAGAGUGCGUAAUAGCUCACUGGUCGAGUGACUCUGCGCCGAAAAUGUACCGGGGCUAAACGUAUCACCGAAGCUGUGGAUUGACACCGUUUGGUGUCAGUGGUAGGAGAGCGUUCUAAGGACUGCGAAGCUAGACCGUAAGGACUGGUGGAGUGCUUAGAAGUGAGAAUGCCGGUAUGAGUAGCGAAAGAUGGGUGAGAAUCCCAUCCACCGAAUGCCUAAGGUUUCCUGAGGAAGGCUCGUCCGCUCAGGGUUAGUCGGGACCUAAGUCGAGGCCGAUAGGCGUAGACGAUGGACAACAGGUUGAUAUUCCUGUACCACCUUUCUUCCAUUUGAGCAAUGGGGGGACGCAGGAGGAUAGGGUAAGCGCACUGCUGGAUAUGUGCGUCUAAGCAGUUAGGCUGAYGAUGAGGCAAAUCCCAUCRUCGUGAAGGCUGAGCUGUGAUAGCGAGCGAAUUAUAGUAGCGAAGUUCCUGAUUCCACACUGCCAAGAAAAGCCUCUAGCGAGGAAGAUGGUGCCCGUACCGCAAACCGACACAGGUAGGCGAGGAGAGAAUCCUAAGGUGAGCGAGAGAACUCUCGUUAAGGAACUCGGCAAAAUGACCCCGUAACUUCGGGAGAAGGGGUGCUCUGGUAGGGUGCAAGCCCGAGAGAGCCGCAGUGAAUAGGCCCAGGCGACUGUUUAGCAAAAACACAGGUCUCUGCGAAGCCGUAAGGCGAAGUAUAGGGGCUGACGCCUGCCCGGUGCUGGAAGGUUAAGAGGAGUGCUUAGCGCAAGCGAAGGUGCGAAUCGAAGCCCCAGUAAACGGCGGCCGUAACUAUAACGGUCCUAAGGUAGCGAAAUUCCUUGUCGGGUAAGUUCCGACCCGCACGAAAGGCGUAACGAUCUGGGCACUGUCUCAACGAGAGACUCGGUGAAAUUAUAGUACCUGUGAAGAUGCAGGUUACCCGCGACAGGACGGAAAGACCCCGUGGAGCUUUACUGUAGCCUGAUAUUGAAUUUUGGCACAGCUUGUACAGGAUAGGUAGGAGCCUUGGAAGCCGGAGCGCUAGCUUCGGUGGAGGCGUCGGUGGGAUACUACCCUGGCUGUGUUGACAUUCUAACCCGCGCCCCUUAUCGGGGUGGGAGACAGUGUCAGGUGGGCAGUUUGACUGGGGCGGUCGCCUCCUAAAGAGUAACGGAGGCGCCCAAAGGUUCCCUCAGAAUGGUUGGAAAUCAUUCGCAGAGUGUAAAGGCACAAGGGAGCUUGACUGCGAGACCUACAAGUCGAGCAGGGACGAAAGUCGGGCUUAGUGAUCCGGUGGUUCCGCAUGGAAGGGCCAUCGCUCAACGGAUAAAAGCUACCCCGGGGAUAACAGGCUUAUCUCCCCCAAGAGUCCACAUCGACGGGGAGGUUUGGCACCUCGAUGUCGGCUCAUCGCAUCCUGGGGCUGUAGUCGGUCCCAAGGGUUGGGCUGUUCGCCCAUUAAAGCGGUACGCGAGCUGGGUUCAGAACGUCGUGAGACAGUUCGGUCCCUAUCCGUCGUGGGCGCAGGAAAUUUGAGAGGAGCUGUCCUUAGUACGAGAGGACCGGGAUGGACGCACCGCUGGUGUACCAGUUGUCUUGCCAAAGGCAUCGCUGGGUAGCUAUGUGCGGAAGGGAUAAGUGCUGAAAGCAUCUAAGCAUGAAGCCCCCCUCGAGAUGAGAUUUCCCAUCACUUUAUGUGAGUAAGAUCCCUGAAAGAUGAUCAGGUAGAUAGGUCAGAGGUGGAAGUGUGGCAGUACGAGAGGACCGGGAUGGACGCACCGCUGGUGUACCAGUUGUCUUGCCAAAGGCAUCGCUGGGUAGCUAUGUGCGGAAGGGAUAAGUGCUGAAAGCAUCUAAGCAUGAAGCCCCCCUCGAGAUGAGAUUUCCCAUCACUUUAUGUGAGUAAGAUCCCUGAAAGAUGAUCAGGUAGAUAGGUCAGAGGUGGAAGUGUGGCGACACAUGGAGCUGACUGAUACUAAUCGAUCGAGGACUUAACCAAA
rnacentral:rRNA from 1 species